rnacentral:other from 1 species
ACAUCCCUGCACGGUUUGAUUUGUUGCGGUCAUUUAUGAAUCCUACUAAUCAAAUUUAGGGAGCCCGCUGUCCCUGGCUGGAUCGCAGACCUCCCGCCCUAGGCGGAAGAAGGGAGCGUGAACGUCCGGGUAGGGCACCCACCUGCCUGUACCGGUAGGUUUUGAUUGGCUGCAGACGGCCGCGUGGGGGUUUU